AACAUAGCAUCAGUUCUGUUCUAUAUAGUGUUAUGUGUACUUCAAUGGAAUUCUUCUUCCCUGACUUGCAUUCUAUUUCUGUAAUGAUAGGAUUGGAAGGAUUUUGGAAUCAGAUGUGACAUGUUCCUGAAACUUAGAAGGCAGAGGACAUCAGAGUUUUGGACAACAAUCUAAUAUGUGUGGUCAUUCUGCUGUAUGAUGCUCUUUCUGAGAGCGUGUAUGAUGAACAGGUUUGUCUUAACACAUAGGUAUG
rnacentral:lncRNA from 1 species